GUAUAAACAGGACCCAGCUUUGCGUUAAAGUUGUUUCCAGCUGAAGACUGUUUGAAUGCCCGUUUAAAAAUUCGUUGUCCGACAUAAAAUGUUGAUCAAUACCUACAUCUUCGUCGACAGAUUCUACAGAUUCUUGGAUGGUUGGUCGGAUUCCGAACUUGCGCCAAAAGUCGUAACCGAGAAUGCAACGCCUAUUGAGAUCAGGAGCUACGAGCACAGGCAUCAACCUGGUGAUUCCAUUGAAUGUUAUCGGCAACUCGACUGACCCUAAUACUUCUAAAUGUUGACCUCCGGCCGUGGAUAGAUUGAUGUUGGAAUUGAAGUAACAUUGGCUGCAAGCAUGGCUAUGCGACAAUCUUCCCGCGUGUUCCGGAAUAACAGGUCAAAUUUGCGCUGUUCUUCCCAAGGACGGGAUAAGUUUCGGAAGAUUUUGGCCAUGUCAAGAUAAAAAUCUUGAAAUUUUUCUCUCGGCCCUUGGCGCCGAUUCGCAGCUUGGCGUUCGUAGGCAUAAUCCAUGUCCACAGAUCCAUUCGUAACAAUCGUUCGCACUGGUUACGCGUCAGACUCGCAUCGACAGGAAUCUUUCUAAUAUGCAGCUCGUAUUCAAGCUCGUCUUCGGUCAGGUGAGCCGGAUUCAACG